CACAAAUAAAAUUAAAAUUAAAAAGCAAAUAAGCAACCCUCCCCAGCAGUCUUGGGGUGGAGCUCAGGUGUAGGGUUCACAACAUGUAUGAGGCUCUGGAUUUGAACUCAGGCUCAUGCAUGUAACACACACAUACACAUACACACCCCCAAACAAAAACCCACUAAUCUUUAUCAAAAAUUGGUAGUUGUGUACACUGAAAGUUGAACCAUUACAUUUCACUCUUCUUAUUUUCUUGAAGUGAUGCUUUCCAAUGAGCAAAAUUUAGGAGAGGAAAGGAUAUACAAAGAAAGGGUACACUGAGCUCCAAAAGGACAUUUACAAGCCAUUUCUGGCAUGAUGUCACAGAUGCCCCCUAAUUACCUUUUCAAUGGUUCCAGUCAUAGGUGCGAUGGUACCACCCUGAGUUCCUUCUGAGCUCGCUGAGGCCAAGUACUUGGGUACUGGAAUGCCAAUUUCAAUACUUCCUUCCUAUACAAAACAGUGAACAUAGAAUCAGCAUCUCAUCUCUUUAUGUUCAGUAGGACACCCAAGGGAUUGAUUCAUGCUAUUAGUGACGAUUAGUUGCUACUGACACCUGGGUUCUAAUGAAGCUUAGUGAUCUUAAGAGGCUACUAAGCCUCGAUCAGUCCCAUCUCCCAUGACACAGAGGUCAUGGUACAAAUGCCUGGUCAGGGAUUAAGAAUUAAAGGACGGGACUAUAAGUAACAGGAUGGUCGCUUUCUGGAAGUGAUUUUUUUAGUAGCAUCUUUACUGUGGAGAACAUAAUCUACAGUAAGAACUUUACACUUACACACACACUAUGCCAUUAAUUGUCUCAAUUCUAUCAAGUAAGUCUGCUAACUAGUCAAGGUUAUAGACGGCAGAACCAGAGCCUGGAAAGUUUAACUGUACAAGGUCACACAGCUGCCGGGUGGCAGGGCCAGGACUUGAUCCAGGACAGCUUUACCCUCCAGAGCUGUUUGCCCCUCCAUGGCCUGCCUCUCAGCCUGGCACUGUUAUAGCAAAGUUGGCUGCAGAAGGGAGUUGCUGGGAAAGCCACAUUGUCCUUGACCUUAGGCACAGUGCAGACCCUAAAGCCAUUUCGCCAUAAUCACUGUGGUCUUGAUAUGGCCCCAUCUCUCUGACGGACACUUCUCUCCAUUGCCCAGAAGCUGAGGGCUCACUGGUCAUGGGGCUCUGAACCAAGGACAACCAAACUCGCCUGGCUCUCUUCUGAGUGCUAAGUCACUGCCACUAACCCCAUCCACUUUCCUAUUGCCACAAACAUCUGGUCCAGACUGCUCUCGUGUGGUCACCUCGUCCCCAACCCCAGGAUUCCAAGUGCCACAGGGAUGGGUCUGGGUAGAGUAUAGGAGAAUGCCCACACCGAGAGCAGAGCCUCUCACAAGGAGAGGGCAAGCUUUAUUUCUGAAUUCUAAGAAGAAAACUGUCAUGUGUAACAAUGAGAAUCUUCCGGAAAAAAAAUAGAUGACUAGAACUAGAAAGGAAGGGCUGUGGCAAAGAAAUGUGGAGAGAGAAACUGGGGAAACAUGAUCUCAGUGGCUGAAGGAAGUGGGCCUUUCUUCAGUGAAAUGUUCCUGGUUAAUCAAUUCCAUCCCAAACCCCAAGAGGGCUAUCAUCAAACCCAGACAUGGUAGCCUACACCCAAUCCUAGAAUUCGGGAAAUUACAGCAGGAGGAUUUCCAUGAGUCCUAGCCCAGCUUGAGCUGCCGACUGAAACCUCAUCAAAACAAGACAAGAGUGAGACAUCACCAUGGAAAACAGGUAGAUGGUGUUGUCCAUCAUGACGAACUUGGAUUUACUGGCUACUCCGUUAACAGAAGACUUUAGGUAGGUACAGCCUCCCUCACUGCAAAGGUCACCAAGAACUCGGAAGGUCUGAUUUUCAAUCUAGAGGGGGAAAAAAAGCUUUAAAAUGAAUGACUAUGUAGAGUUAAUAAAGUCAAAAUGUCUUCAUCAUUAGCAAUUUCAAAGGUAUAUUUUUCAAGGAAUCAUGCAGAACCCCCACCCCCAGAUUCCUAACCAGAACAAUUUAGAUACAAAUACCAAUACGAUCAUUAAAAGAAAAAAAUAACUAUAUAUGUUAUUCAUGUUAGCAUAAUGCCACAGAUGAAAGUUCAUUUUAAAAUGGAAAGAACAGCAUAAAAACUGUCAAAAGUACACAUCAAAGGGCUAGAGAAAUGGCUCAGCAGUGAAGAGCAUGUUGCUUUUACAGGACCUGAGUUCGGUUCCCUGCACCCAUGUCAAGAACCUCAUAAUUGCCUGUAACUCCAGCUCCAGGGGAUCCGAUGCUCUUUUCUAGUCUCUUCAGGACUCCUCGGAAACAGAAAACGGACUCCUGUGAAUUGUUCUCUGACUUCUACACAGGCUCUAGACUCAUGAGUGAGACCUCCACAAAUGAAUAACUAACAUUACAAUGGUCAAAGGCUUACGGGGAACUUGAGAAGGAAAACCAACCCUACUUAGUAUGAGAAAGAUAGGAUUUGGCUCUGAGCUACAGACCAGAACCAACAAGGCUUACCUGCAUGUCAUAUGACCCAUCAUGGUUAUAUGUCACAGCUAUGACUAUAUCUAUGGAACAAGAGAAAAUUGAAGAAAAAAAAGAAGGAAACAUUAUGUAAACAAUGGAGAUGAUGAACUUCCCCCCUCUCAACUCUAAGUUACUCCGCUACUGCAAGAAAAGGCGCCAUCUUAACUCCAGGGGAUACAAGGUUUUCCUUAGCAGCCUCUGACCAGGCUCAGCACAGGUAGAUCGGCAAACCUUUCUCUUUUGAAAAUGUACUUUUAAUAUUUUCACCUGUACACAAAAAGUUACAAUGACAGUACAGAAAAUGCAAUCAACUAGCCAAGAGAAGGUCUGGCUUGGACCCAAACCUCCCAUCUGAUUGCCUCUGUGGUCUUGGCUAAGUCACUCUAUGUUCCUUCACUGUCCAGCCAUUAAGCAGGCAUGGGAAUGUUAACAAUGACCAAGUAAAUUGAAAGUGCUUUAAAACUGUAACAGAUCAUAAGAAUAUAAGAAAUUAUGCUGUACAUAAUAUGGAAUUGGGUGAGACUAUUCUCCAAGUUGGAAAUCAGUUUUGUGUAGGUAUUUUGGUGUAGUAUCUACAAGGCCUUGGGUUCAAUUCCCAGCAACAAUGUUGUGACUAGAGCUGUACACGUUAAUAACAUUUCUUUCUUUCCAAAACCUGUCCUAUGAGUCUCUUCCUUGCCUUCCUGAUGUUCUUCCUGACCUAGGCUGACUGGCUCUCAAGGCAUCUUCUGGGCCCUUCCUGCUUCCCAUCUCAACCCUUUCAUUUCCAUAUUCAAAUUACUGUCCUGGGAAUUUGUAAUUACCAGGAAUUUUUAAUUACAAAAAUAAUUCAAGCCAGGGUUCAACCCCACACCCUGAGGAAUGUAUACUUACAUAACAUUACACCCUGCUAAAUUGCCACGCCUUGUUAAAUGUAUCACAAGCUGUUCAAGAUUCUCUGGUGGGAAACAAAAGUAACUGGA